GAGUUUGAUCCUGGCUCAGGACGAACGCUGGCGGCGUGCCUAAUACAUGCAAGUCGAGCGAGCUGAAUUCAAAGAUUCCUUCGGGAUGAUUUGUUGGACGCUAGCGGCGGAUGGGUGAGUAACACGUGGGCAAUCUGCCCUAAAGACUGGGAUACCACUUGGAAACAGGUGCUAAUACCGGAUAACAACAUGAAUCGCAUGAUUCAAGUUUGAAAGGCGGCGCAAGCUGUCACUUUAGGAUGAGCCCGCGGCGCAUUAGCUAGUUGGUGGGGUAAAGGCCUACCAAGGCGAUGAUGCGUAGCCGAGUUGAGAGACUGAUCGGCCACAUUGGGACUGAGACACGGCCCAAACUCCUACGGGAGGCAGCAGUAGGGAAUCUUCCACAAUGGACGCAAGUCUGAUGGAGCAACGCCGCGUGAGUGAAGAAGGUUUUCGGAUCGUAAAGCUCUGUUGUUGGUGAAGAAGGAUAGAGGCAGUAACUGGUCUUUAUUUGACGGUAAUCAACCAGAAAGUCACGGCUAACUACGUGCCAGCAGCCGCGGUAAUACGUAGGUGGCAAGCGUUGUCCGGAUUUAUUGGGCGUAAAGCGAGCGCAGGCGGAAUGAUAAGUCUGAUGUGAAAGCCCACGGCUCAACCGUGGAACUGCAUCGGAAACUGUCAUUCUUGAGUGCAGAAGAGGAGAGUGGAACUCCAUGUGUAGCGGUGAAAUGCGUAGA
rnacentral:rRNA from 1 species